GACGUAGGGCGCGAGCGUUGUCCGGAUUUAUUGGGCGUAAAGAGCGUGUAGGCGGUUUGGUAGGUCCGCUGUGAAAACUCGAGCUCAACCUCGAGACGCCGGUGGAAACCAUCAGACUAGAGUCCGGAAGAGGAGAGUGGAAUUCCUGGUGUAGCGGUGAAAUGCGCAGAUAUCAGGAAGAACACCCGUGGCUAAGGCGGCUCUCUAGUACGGUACUGACGCUGAGACGCGAAAGCGUGGGGAGCGAACAGG
rnacentral:rRNA from 1 species